AGUUUACUGAAAAAUUAAUGCUUUUCUGCUUCUCCAAAUAUAACCGUAAAUAACUUUUUUUCAAGGUAAAUCGGCCAUGUCGCUAUCAUGUCUCUUCAUAGAAUUAUAUUUCAUGAAUGACGGAUUACAAUGAGCUAGAAGCGGCUGGCUUUGGACUCCGGGACACAUCAACGGUUGAUCCUGAACCGUUAGCCGUCUGCUGGAGGAAAAUCCUGAACCGGAGUUUUCUAAGUCUUUGUCCAGAUUUUGGAAACUUCUGGAAGGCUUAAUUCAUCUUCAUGAAGUUGGAUGUUACUGCCUUAUUCCCCAAGGAAGAGGGAAACCCUCCUGAGCCUGAGCCCGUGGCCUCCACUUCAAGACAGCCAAGAGAUGUCGGAGCAGACUCUGUGAGAGCGCUUUAUAAAAGGAAGAUGGAGCUCGACAUAGACUACAAGAAGCUUAAAAUUAAGAUCCCAAGGCUGGAACUGGAGAAACUUGAGCAUGAAAAAAA